rnacentral:rRNA from 1 species
UACGUAGGGGGCAAGCGUUGUCCGGAUUUAUUGGGCGUAAAGAGCGUGUAGGCGGCCAGACAGGUCAGCUGUGAAAACUCGAGGCUCAACCUCGAGACGUCGGUUGAAACCACCUGGCUAGAGUCCGGAAGAGGAGAGUGGAAUUCCCGGUGUAGCGGUGAAAUGCGCAGAUAUCGGGGAAGAACACCGGUGGCGAAGGCGGUUCUCUGGGCAUUACCUGACGCUGAGGAGCGAAAGUGUGGGGAGCGAACAGG